GGAAACCCAGUGUGUUUCGACACACUAUCAUUAACCGAAUCCAUAGGUUAAUGAGGCGAACCGGGGGAACUGAAACAUCUAAGUACCCCGAGGAAAAGAAAUCAACCGAGAUUCCCCAAGUAGCGGCGAGCGAACGGGGAGCAGCCCAGAGCCUGAAUCAGUGUGUGUGUUAGUGGAAGCGUCUGGAAAGGCGCGCGAUACAGGGUGACAGCCCCGUACACAAAAAUGCACAUAUUGUGAGCUCGAUGAGUAGGGCGGGACACGUGGUAUCCUGUCUGAAUAUGGGGGGACCAUCCUCCAAGGCUAAAUACUCCUGACUGACCGAUAGUGAACCAGUACCGUGAGGGAAAGGCGAAAAGAACCCCGGCGAGGGGAGUGAAAAAGAACCUGAAACCGUGUACGUACAAGCAGUGGGAGCACGCUUAGGCGUGUGACUGCGUACCUUUUGUAUAAUGGGUCAGCGACUUAUAUUCUGUAGCAAGGUUAACCGAAUAGGGGAGCCGAAGGGAAACCGAGUCUUAACUGGGCGUUAAGUUGCAGGGUAUAGACCCGAAACCCGGUGAUCUAGCCAUGGGCAGGUUGAAGGUUGGGUAACACUAACUGGAGGACCGAACCGACUAAUGUUGAAAAAUUAGCGGAUGACUUGUGGCUGGGGGUGAAAGGCCAAUCAAACCGGGAGAUAGCUGGUUCUCCCCGAAAGCUAUUUAGGUAGCGCCUCGUGAAUUCAUCUCCGGGGGUAGAGCACUGUUUCGGCAAGGGGGUCAUCCCGACUUACCAACCCGAUGCAAACUGCGAAUACCGGAGAAUGUUAUCACGGGAGACACACGGCGGGUGCUAACGUCCGUCGUGAAGAGGGAAACAACCCAGACCGCCAGCUAAGGUCCCAAAGUCAUGGUUAAGUGGGAAACGAUGUGGGAAGGCCCAGACAGCCAGGAUGUUGGCUUAGAAGCAGCCAUCAUUUAAAGAAAGCGUAAUAGCUCACUGGUCGAGUCGGCCUGCGCGGAAGAUGUAACGGGGCUAAACCAUGCAC
rnacentral:rRNA from 1 species